rnacentral:rRNA from 1 species
UGGGGAAUAUUGCACAAUGGGGGAACCGUAGCUGCAGCAACGCCGCGUGAAGGAAGACGGUUUUCGGAUUGUAAACUUCUUUUCUUAGUGAAGAAACAAAUGACGGUAGCUAAGGAAUAAGCAUCGGCUAACUACGUGCCAGCAGCCGCGGUAAUACGUAGGAUGCGAGCGUUAUCCGGAUUUACUGGGUGUAAAGGGAGCGCAGGCGGGACUGCAAGUUGGAUGUGAAAUACCGCAGCUUAACUGCGGAGCUGCAUCCAAAAACUGUAGUUCUUGAGUGGAGUAGAGGCAAGCGGAAUUCCGAGUGUAGCGGUGAAAUGCGUAGAUAUUCGGAGGAACACCAGUGGCGAAGGCGGCUUGCUGGGCUCUAACUGACGCUGAGGCUCGAAAGUGUGGGGAGCAAACAGGAUUAGAUACC